AGAUGCUGCUAUCCAGGAGAGGAAUUUGGCUCUUUCUGAGAAGAAGGCUGCUUUGGCAGAACGAGACAUGGCUAUCCUGCAGAGGGAUUCAGCAAUAGCUGAAAGAAAUAAUGCCAUUAUGGAACGCGAUAAUGCAAUUGCCACUCUUCAGUAUCGCGAAAACUCUAUAAAUAGUGGUAAUAUGUCUCCCUGCCCACCAGGAUGCCAAAUUACACGUGGUGUGAAGCAUAUGCACCAUCCUCAGCAGCACGUACACCACCAGCCCCAAGUAAAUGAACCUCCAUAUGGUAGCAGAGAUAUGCCCAUAAGUGAUGCUAUUCCAAUAUCACCUGGUUUGCUGGAGC
rnacentral:lncRNA from 1 species